CGUAGGUUCCCAACGAAACAUCAGGCCCAAGUCGGGGUGUCGGGGCUCGUACCUCUGGCGAGGGCCGACCUUCGACGGAGAGCCGAACUUUGUAGACUCUGGAGCUUUGAAAUUGAGUUGUAUUCCGAACAAGGGCAUACAGAAUUCACUGAUGGUACAAUUUCAGGUUAUCGACACUCCAAGUCCGGGGAAUGGUCAUCCUUUCCAGGGUCUCAAGUCGGCAGGCAUCCGGCCUGCAGG
rnacentral:lncRNA from 1 species